rnacentral:rRNA from 1 species
ACUCAAAGGAAUUGACGGGGACCCGCACAAGCAGCGGAGCGUGUGGUUUAAUUCGAUGCGACGCGAAGAACCUUACCAGGGCUUGACAUGCACUCGCAACCUUCUGAAAGGAAGGCCUCCUUCGGGACGGGUGCACAGAUGCUGCAUGGCUGUCGUCAGCUCGUGUCGUGAGAUGUUGGGUUAAGUCCCGCAACGAGCGCAACCCCCGUCCUUAGUUGCAAAUCUAAGGAGACUGCCGGAAACAAACCGGAGGAAGGUGGGGAUGACGUCAAGUCAGCAUGGCUCUUACGUCCUGGGCUACACACACGCUACAAUGGUCGUUACAGCGAGAAGCGACUUCGCGAGAAGAAGCAGAUCUCUAAAAGGCGGCCUCAGUUCAGAUUGCACUCUGCAACCCGAGUGCAUGAAGUCGGAGUUGCUAGUAACCGCGUGUCAGCAUAGCGCGGUGAAUAUGUUCCCGGGUCUUGCACACACCGCCCGU